CACGAGGCCUGAAGCCUCGUCCUUCCUGAUGGAACUAAAGGAUCGUACGUUCUUGGCGGUGAGGAGUUCCAUGACACAUACUUUACGCAUUUGUCUCCAGUAUUCACCAUAAGGAGUAAAUGCGAUGUCCGUGCUCUUGUAACAUAUUGUGUCGACGGAUGCUAAUUUAGGCCUCGAUGCAAAAGCAAGGUCAUGAGUUUUCAGUACCUCCCGGGCCAUAUCCGUAGAUGAAACUAUGACCGUAGAAAUUUCCCCUAGUUGUAGGUGCAUGAGAGGCCCAUAUUUUUUGCUCAAGUUUGUGAGUGCAUGAUGAGGAAGUCCACCUUCUAGUACCAAGUGAUGGAUACUUCCUAAGAAAGGCAAUUUCCAUGGUCCUGGAGGAAGUUUUUUGUUCAAGUUUCUUGAUUUUUUCCUUUGCACAAGUAGUAGAUAGAGGAAUGAUAGGAAAAGAAAUAAGAAAAUGAAAUUGAAUGGAAAUUGGAACUCCAUUAGAUAGCUAAAGCUAAGAGAGGAGUGUCUCUCAAGUUGUAUAUGGCUAUAUUUUGGCCUAUCCUAAUGCCAGAGGGAUAUGAUCCAAGUGUUAGGCUAUCUUUUGGCCUAUCCUUGAAGAUAUUUUCCUUAAAAAUAAGUAGUUUUCUUAUAUAGUUUUUUUUUUUAAUAUUUGAAAAGCAGAAAAAAUGUAAAAUCUAAACAAACACUAUGAAAUAAGAUUGGGGCUGGCGGUGGGCAGGAUUAAAAUGUCGAAACUUGUUUUUUAUGCUUUUAUUAGAAAAACUUUUUUUUCAAUUUUAGAGCGAUAGGAUUUUAAUUACUUAAUACUUAGCUUCUAAUAAGAUUCUGACAUAUAUUACACAGUUCAGGGGCGGAUUUACAUUGAACGAAGGGGUUCAUCCGAACCCCCUUCGUCGAAAAAUUACUAGGAUUAAAUUUUGAAUAUAUGUGUAUAUAUACUAUUGAACCCCCUGAACAUACACCAAAGGCGUAGCUCAGUGGCGUUGGGGGUUCAGGAGUUUUGCUCUACUGCACGCGAGGUCGCGUGUUCGAAUCCGGACAGAGGCAUUUUGUUUUAUCAACUUAUUUCAGACGUUUUAUUUUUUUAAAAUAAAUAAUAAUGCAAUCAGAAAACGAUGUUUAGUUCCAAAAAAUUAAAACGCUGAUUGAGAAUUUAGGAUUUAUUAGUUUAAUCCCUAAUCAUAAAGUCAAAUAUUAAAAAAAUCGUUUCUUCUUGAUUCGACCGUUUAAUCCGACCCGUUUAUAUCCGAUUCGACCCGUUUAUUUAUGGAUAUUAUUUACGUGAUUAAUUUUUUUGAACCCCCUUGAUGAAAAUCCUCCCUCCGCCACUGUUACACACAUAUCAUAUUUUCCAGCCACACGUAGAGCCUCCAAGACGAUCCGUAUUGAUUAAUAGAUCUUCGCGUCCUGCCACAUAUUGCAUGACAAAAUAUCUUUGGUUUUAUUUUGAACAAACUACGAGCUAUACAUUACUCAUGUUAUUUCGUCAGCAGCAUCGUAAGUUUGUGUACUGACCUCAGUAAUAUAAUUCUAAUAACAUUUUAUUACACUUUUUAUGAUAUGUGAUUCAUAUUUGAAGGUGCUACUAUUUUUACGAUAAAAUGUUGAUUUUCAAGCAAUUUUUUUCGUCUUUUAUCAGUAAAACAAAAACAACAUGCAAAUAUUGCAACCGUAUUUCCUUUGUUCUUUAGAUAAACAAUAUGUCCAGCUUUACAUAUUAAUUACCCAUUUCCAAAUUAAAAUUAUAUAUCAAUUAAUAUGAAUAUUAUGAUAAAAUACUCUUAUUAAUUACUCUAUUAAUUUAAAAUGCAUACAAAAUUUAAAGACGACAAAUAAAAUGAGUACAAAUAUAAAUGACGGAAGAAAAUAUCUUUGAUUUCAUUUAGAAUUUACUAAGAAAACAUAAUUAGUUUUAUUUAAAAUCUGUUAAAAUAUUAUCUAUUAACAAUAUAUAAGUGAAAACAAGUUAGCUAUUAAUAUAUAUAUUAAUAUAUAAGUAAGAACAAGCCAACAACUAAUGAUCAAACAGACAUAUUGUCCAUCAACGGUGUGUUUAUCCAUACUUAUAUAUUAGUAGUGGAAGUGGAUAGUGGAUAUUUGACUUUUAAUGCAUCAAUAAUGCCAUCUUUUCUGAGAAAAUGAUAUAAAUAAUCUCUUAACUAUAUGAGUAGGUCUAAAAUGGUCCUUUAACUAUAUACUUAACGGAUUUAGUCCUUUAAUUAUAUCGGUUUUAGUUCCUUAACUAUAAACUUAUCGAUUUUAGUCCUUUAAAUAUUUAAAAACUUAUCAGGUUUGGUCUUUGUCCAUUUUUAAAAUACAAAUAGCUUAGGUUUAUAUUAACGGAAAUCUUCGUGAAAUUGUAUCUUUAACCCAUUUUUAAAGUUGUUUCUCUAUCCCCACCAUUUUUCUUCAAACUACUCUUAUGAAAAGAACAAUAACGUCAACGAUUCAAAAUAAAAUUAAUGAGGAAAGAAGAUAUAAGUCCUUAUUUUAUUCAAUGGAGGAUAAAAUUAAACAUAUAAUUGUUGUUAAUGACUUGAAUCCACACUUGAAUAUGCUAAUCAAUGCGGAUUUUAUUUAAUUUCAUCAAAAUAAAAUUAAUGAGGAAAGAAGAUAUAAGUCCUUAUUUUAUUCAAUGGAGGAUAAAAUUAAACAUAUAAUUGUUGUUAAUGACUUGAAUCCACACUUGAAUAUGCUAAUCAAUGCGGAUUUUAUUUAAUUUCACAAAUUUAUUUACGUAAAAUAAAAUGAAUAGAAUAAUAAAAUUGAUCUAUUUAAAAAAAUUGCAAAUCUACCAUGCAUUUUAUAAAUUUCAAUUUCUGAAAAAUUAAACAAAUUUCGUUCAAUAAAAUCGUUGGAGUACAAACUUUGAAUUUUAUGAUUAAUAUUUUUUUUCUUUUUAUAAUAAAGUUAAGCAUAUUCAAGUCAUUAGUAGCAAUAAUAUGCUUCAUUUUAUCCUCUGUUGAAUAAAAUUAUGACUUAUAUUUUCUUUCCUCGUGAAUUUUAUUUUAAAUCAUUGAGGUUAAGGUUCUUCGCAUAAGGUUAAUUUGAAGUAAAAGUAGCGGAGAGAGACAAAUAAUAGAAAAAAUUGCUAAAGGAUUUAAUUUCUCGAGGCAUGAAUUCCGUUAAUAUAAACCUAAGCUAUUUGUAUUAAGAAAAUGGACAAAGACCAAACCUGAUAAGUUUUUGAAUACUUAAAUGACUAAAAUCGGUAUGUUUAUAGUUAAGGGAUUAAAAUCAGUAAGUGUAUAGUUAAGAGACCAAAACUGAUAAGUUUAUAAAUAGUUAAAGAACUAAAUCCGUUAACUGUAUAGUUAAGGGAUCAUUUUAGACCCAUUCUUAUAGUUAAGAAACUAUUUAUGUCAUUUUCUCCAUCUUUUCUUAUAGAGAAAAUACAUCAAAUCACAUUUAAACUUAACAACAAAAGUUACUUUGACACUUUAAUUAUACUGAUGUUUAUUUAUCCCUUAACAAAUUUUAAAUGAAUUAAAUACGGCCUUAGGGGGUGACGUGAUAGAGAGAGUGAACCUACUCUCCUAAAAGCGUGUGAAGAAAGAAAAAAGAAAAGCUGAAAUUACAAGAUUAUGUGUCAUUUUUUUUAUCGGCCAACAUAUAAAUAAUAUUUUUAAUCUUUUUUUCUUAAUAUAUUAACUUUUUUAAAAUAUGUGAAUUUUCUUAUAGAGAUAAUGGAAUUUAUGAAUCCCAUUUAAAAUAAAGUUUUAACUUUAUUCUCUUUAAUUGUUAUUGACAUCGAUUUUAUGAAAUUCAGUACUAACAUCAUUGUUACAGCCAUUAAUUCCACAACAUCCACUACCAAUAGCAAUAAUAAUGGAGAAGAAUGGAGCGAUGAGGAAUACACAUUCCUAAAUAAUCGAUUUUACAAUAUCUACAUCGAUUCACAAUCAAUACCCAUUAAGAACACACAUUCAUAGAUCCAUAUUUUUAAUUAAUGUUCUUGCAGCUUCAAUCUCACCAAUAAAAUUAGUGAAUGAAGAUCGUAUAAGAAAGUUGAAAGAUCCAUAUUUUUUGCAUCACUAAUAAUAGAAGCUCAAAAUAUGGGUUACUUAAAAUUCAAGAAAAAUUACAUUUAUAAAAUAUAAGCAUCAAGAUUUUACUUAUGAUUUUUGGUAGAAAUCUUGUUGAUAAAAUGUAUGAAGCUUGAGACUAUAGCUAAAGAAACUGUUGUUGAAAGAAAUUAGAUUCAAUUUUCGGUUGGCAUUGUUGAAAUGAUUUAUCUUCAAUUUUUGAUUGCCAUUACUGAGGAUUUACCUCCAAUUUGGUACUGAUGAUAAAGCUCUUUGUUAAAUAAAUGAGCCAACAUAAGUUUUGAAAUUAAUUAGUUUAGUGUAUAUAAGUUAAAAAAAGAUAUAUUUAAAGAAAACGAAAAAAUGGUGAAUAAACAGUAAGAAAUAAAAAAUUAAUGAUGUGAUGCUUAGAUGGCUAUGACGUCAUGCUUAUAUUGCUAUGACAUGGCGGGUGAGAGUAGUAUUUUAAUCUGAGGGUGGUAUUUAAUUCAUUUGAAAGUUAAGAGGGUAAAUAAAUGUCCGUAUAAUCAAAGUGCUAAAGUAAACAAUUCAUUCUAUGCAACGAGUAUCUUUGGGAUGACUUAGCCUAAUAUAACACAUUCAGACCAAUGAACAGUCCUUGUUAUUUUGUGAAUGCUUGAGCUUGUACCAUGCAAACUUAGCCAUGCAUUUCCUGAAACUAGAGUACUAGACAUAAACUGAUCAAUGAAUUUCUCUUGAUCUUUCAACAAUUCCCCAAAUGCUGCUUUGCAUGUAUUUGAGCUCUGGUACCAUGAAACCCGUUUUGUAACAUUUAUCGGCUCGCUACGUGUUGAUGACCGGAUGAACUGCACGAGGCGUGAAGCCUCGUCCCGCCUGAUGGAACUAAAGUACCGUACGUUCUUGGAAGUGAAAAGUUCUAAUACGCAUACUUUGCGCAUCUGUCUCCAGUAUUCACCAUAAGGAGUAAAUGCGAUGUCCAUGCUCUUGUAACAUAUUAUGUCGAUGGAUGCUAAUUUAGGCCUUGAUGCAAAAGCAAGGUCGUGAGUUUUCAGUACCUCUCGCGCCAUGUCCAUAGAAGAAACUACGACCGUAGAAAUUUCGCCUAGUUGAAGGUGCAUGACAGGCCCAUAUUUUUUUCCCAAUUUUGUGAGUACAUGAUGAGGAAGUCCACCUUCUAAUGCCAAGUGAUGGAUACUUCCUAAAAAGGGCAAUUUCCAUGGGCCUGGAGGAAGAUUUUUGUUUAAGUUUCUUGAUUUUUUCCAUUCGACCAGUAGUAGAUAGAGGAAUGAAAGGAAAAGGAAUAAGAAAAUGAAAUUGAAUGGAUAUUGGAACUCCAUUAGAUAGCUAAAGCUAAGAGAAGGGUGUCUCUCAAUUCUCAAGUUCAAAGCUUUGUUGUAUAGGGCUAUUUUUGGCCUGCUAUAUAAUCCUAAUAUCUUGAGAGAAAUGAUCCAAGAGUAAGGGUGUGUUUGGUAUGAAUUUUCCUAAAAAAUAAAUAGUUUUCUUACUUAUUUUCUCGUAUGUGAUAGGUAAACAGAAAAUAUUGUAAAAGCUAGGCAAACACUAUUAUUAUUAUCACAAUUCAACUUGUAAACGAGUCUGAAGUCAAGGUACGGGUCAUGCUUAUGUAUUAUGCCUAUAUUAUACGCAUAACAAUAUUUUUCGGCCGUAUGUAGAGCCUCUAAGACAAAGAGGAGACUAUCAAUUAUCCUUUCAAAAUUCAUAUUGAUUAAUAGAUCUUCGCAUCUUGCCACAUAUUGCAUGACGAAAACUAUUUCCUGAUGCAGUGAUAGCUGCUACAAAAGUACAAAAUUUGGUUUUAUUUGAAACAAACAGAGGAAAAUUCCAAACUCUGAGCUAUACAUGUUAAUUUGUCAGCAGUGCCAUCCGAUAUAUUCAAACUUGUGUCUAAUGUCAUAAAUUAUAGGUAAAUUUUGAUGAAAAUAUAUAUAAGAUAUUUAAAUUGUUCAUAAAAACUAAUAUAUUAUGUAUAUAAUGUGUCGGUUGAUUCGAUUAUUUUGAAUCAAACAAAAUAUUAUCAAUUUAAAAAAAUGUAAAACCAGAUCAAACCAAAUCCAAAUAAAAAAAAUCGAUUGGUUCAAUUUGAAUCAGUUGAAAGAAAUUAUUGUGGAAGCUUGCACAAAGGUUUGAAUAUCAGUGUUCAACAUUGUUAUGGUGAGGCCAAUCAAGUCGCGGAUGCUUUGGCCAAAUGAAGCAUCAAGAACCAAGAUCACAAUUUCUUCUCGAGGGGCUCGUGCAGAAUGAACCAAUUACAAUUGCCAUCGCUAAGAUUCAAAUGCAUAAAGCAUUCGAGUAUUCACUAUUUUCACUCCAAAUUACUCACAAGAUUGUAAUCCAGUUGAUGCAACCAAGGCACUACUCUAAGAAGGGAAGCCCCACAGAGCAGAGUAGUGGAGAGACUAGAACUCUGUUCGAGUAGAGUCGAGGGUGGGAUUGAAAGACUCAUCAACUUGUCGUCUCAGUUUUUUGUGCCACAAAAGGUAUCUUAUGUCUGUGUACCUGAGUCUACAUCAACUAAAAGAUGCAGUGCCCUUGACCAAGGGAUGUAAGUACAUAUGGAAUAGUACCAUAUGUAAAAUGACAGAAUGAAACAUGAACGUACAUAUAUUUUUUUUAAAAAAAAACAGGAUGACCAACAGAAUCAGACACACAACAUGGAAGGAUCGUGAUAAUCAAGUGUCACCAACAUGUUCUGACAUUUAGUUUCUUAGUCAUGCGUUAGUUCGUUAUGGAAAUUCAUUAGUGUAACUGAACAUGAGGUAGCAGAGUGAGUCCCUUUUGCUAUAUAUGGUUCAGUUAACAAAAACAAGGGCUUACUGCUAUAAAAAAUCACUAAGAAAUGUCACUGCUAGAAACAAAGGUUUUCUCACCGCGAUCAAUAAAAAAAUUGUGUUAUAAAACAUGAUUUUCUCAUUCAUUUUCCACCAAACCAGCUCACUGGAAAACACAUGGUAGGAAACAAAUUCUGCUGAAAUAGUGGAAGCUUUCUAAUUUUGGAUGGAGAAGCUAUUAUUGUUAAUAAACAAAACUUCAAAGUACAUGAACUGAUCAUUGAACAACACAUGAAUAUAUUACAUACAAGCUUGAAACAAGCUGACACAAAUAUCAUUAAAUACAUAAUUCACAAACAAAAAAAGAAGAACAGAGAGGAUAAAAUAUCAUUCAUGAGAAGGAUAAUAAGGAGUGGCAAUCAAGUAGAGCUCGCUCUUUCUUGCUGCAGUUAUUCCGGAAAAUUCAGUCAUGUCCACAUCCUUAGGCUUCAAACCAUCAGGUAAUUUCCAAUCAAAAUGAUACAACAAUUUAGCUAGUGGAAGAUAAAUAUUGAUCAAACCAAAUGUAAUCCCAGGACACAUUCUCCUUCCGGCACCAAAAGGAAGAUACUCAAAGUUAUUCCCCAUGAAAUCCACAGAGGUCUGCUCGAAUCUCUCAGGGAUAAAGCUUUCUGCAUCUUCCCAAUACUUCGGGUCCCUCCCCAUUGCAUAAACGUUAACCAUCACUCUUGUUUUUAAUGGGAUAGUGUAACCGUUGAUGUUUGUUUCUUCCCUGCAUUCUCUGGGGACUAAGAGAGGAACUGGAGGAUGAAGUCUUAAGGUUUCUUUAACAACUUGUUUUAGAUAUUUCAAUUCCUCAAUAACAUCUUCAUCGAACGUUUCUUUUCCUUUGAAGGCUUGUCUUACCUCAGCUUGUGCCUUCGCUAAUACACUUGGUUUCCUCAUCAUUUCUGACAUAGCCCAUAUCGUUGUUGUUCCUGAAGUUUCUGCUCCCGCAGAGAACAAGUCCUACAUUUUAUUAUUAAUAAAAGAAGAAUUUACAUGAAUAGCUGGUGAAUGUAUAAUAUGUGUGUAUAAAUUUGAAGGAUUUUCCCUAUAAAAGUAAGAAUACUUACUAUUAUAAUUGCUUUGAUGUUGUCAUUGGUGAUAGGAAUUUUAAGUUCUCCACUCUCCUUUAAUCUUAGUAGAACAUCAACUAAAUCUUCACCUCCAAAUGCACCAUUUCCCUUUUUACCACUUGCAAUAUUCUUUUUAUGCUCAUUGAUAACAUCCUCAACAAUAACAUCAGCAUUUUUAUGAACUUUCAAGAUUUUACUCUUCAAUCCACUUAACACUUGAAGGAUCUUGAUUGAAGGGAAAAUGUCAGCCAAACUAAAUCCACCUGCCACUUCCAUCAAUUCUCUCACUAUUCCAAGGAAUUUCUCUUGAUCUUUCAACAAUUCCCCAAAUGCUGUUUUGCAGGUAAUUGAGCUCUGGUACCAUAAAAUCCGCUCCGUAACAUUUAUUGGCUCGUCACGUGUUGAUGACCGGAUGAAUUGUACAAGGCGUGAAGCCUCGUCCCAUCUGAUGGAACUAAAGGAUCGUACGUUCUUGGUAGUGAGAAGUUCCAAGACACAUACUUUGCGCAUCUGUCUCCAGUAAUCUCCAUAAGGACUAAACGCGAUGUCCGUGCUCUUGUAACAUAUUAUGUCGAGGGCUAAUAAUUUAGGCCUUGAUGCAAAAGCGAGGUCAUGAGUUUUCAGUACCUCUCGCGCCAUAUCCAUAGAAGAAACUAUGAUGGUAGAAAUUUCGCCUAGUUGAAGGUGCAUGAAAGGUCCAUGUUUUUGCCCAAGUUUGUGAGUGCAUGAUGAGGAAGUCCACCUUCUAAUGCCAAGUGAUGGACACUUCCUAUAAAGGGCAAUUUCCAUGGGCCUGGAGGAAGCUUUUUGUUUAAGUUUCUUGAUUUUUUCCAAUCCACAAGUAGUAUAUAGAGGAAUGAUAGGAAAAGGAAUAAGAAAAUGAAAUUGAAUGGAAAUUGAAACUCCAUUAGAUAGAUAGCUAAAGCUAAGAGAGGGGUGUAUAGGCUUUAAUUCUUCUGGCCUAAUAUAUAAUCCUAAUGUCAGAGAGAAAAUGAAUUGAGAGUAAGGAUGUGUUUGUCCCCGAAAUUAAGUGUCUUUUUUGCUUAUUUUCGGUAUUUGGUAAUACACAGAAAAAAAGUGUUUUGAAACUUUUUUGAUCAACCAAACAUGAUUGUUUUUGGAAAAGACUCCACACAAAACACACACUAAAUAUAAUACUAAUCUUAUACCUGCAAGUCAUUAUCUCGUAUAAUGUAGUACUAAGUAUAAAGUAUAUAAACUAAAUGAAAGUUGAAUUCGAGAUAGAGAGAGACCAUGUAUAAACUUAUAAUAUUUGCUUAUCAAUGUUUGGUGAAAGCAAUAAACGUGUUUUUAAUUGUAUUGUAUUCAAUUAUCUCCUAAUUGAUAUCAAUACAAUAACAAAAACAUCUUUAAUUAAUUUAAUGUCAAACACAUGAUGUAUUAACAACUAUUAAAUUAGAGCCGGCAAUGAUGUGGAAAAUCUUAUGCGAAUCAAUAUUGAUUAAUGAGUAUCGACCUAUCGUCACAAUUCGUUUCGUAAUUAAAUGAGUUGAUCUAGAGCGGAAGGUUAAUAUUUGGGUUUAUUUAUGCUCUCGCUAUGAUACAUUUGAUUUAUUAGUGCCAUCAACAAAGAACUAGAUUUUGUCACAUGACAUUAUUUAAAUUCUUCAUUAUUUAUCAGCUCCCACCUCUCUCAUCUCCUUUUGUGAGUUAUAUAUAUAUAUAUAUAUAUAUGAUCCAUUUUAUUAAGUUCAGUAUAUAUUUAAGUCUUUUCUCAUUACUUCUCCAAAGGGCUAAGGGGAACACACAAAAAGGCUCAGUUAUUUCAAUUAUUGUAUGGAGAGCAUUAUUUUGGAUGGUGAAACUAUUGCUCCUUUGUCCGUAUUUACUUGUCCAAUUUUGAAUUGAAAUAUCUAUUAAAAAAAUAAUACUAACAUAAUGAGUUUAUCAUUUUACUCAUAUUCAUUAAUUGAUAGAAGUUCAAAAUCAAUUUACUCAUUAAAGAGGUUAUACCUUUUUCAAAAACAUUAACUCUCUAAAUAAAUUGAGGGUAUAAUAGGUAUAAAAAUAAUAAUAUUUUUUUAAUUUGUCAAAAAUGACAAGUAAAAAUAUCAAAAUUGAACAAGUAAAACCGGCAGAUGGAGUAUUAUUAAUACACAAAAUUCAAAGUACAUACAAUAGAUGAAUAUACUAAACAAGUAUAGGCAAACUGUCAAGCUGACAUAUACAUACAAGCUUGAAACAAGAUGAUAUAUAAUAAAGUUGGAUUACCAUUUUAUUUGUUUACCAAAUUAAAUAUUUAUUUAAUUAAUUAUUACUAAAUAGUAAUAUCUUAAUAUUUUUUGAAUCAAUUUAAAUUGUGAGGUACAAUGAAUCGUCUAAUUUACUAGUUCAAUCCAGGGAAAUGAAAGGGUUUUUGAUAUUAAGUGAUAAUACAAACAAAAGUUGAAAGCAUCCCAAGUCUCAUUUCGAGAUAACAUUUAAUAUUUGUGUUAAAUUUGCUUUUAUCAUUGAAAUUUAAAACUUUCACGGUUAGCUUAUUUUUUCAAUAAUAAAGACCAUUGAGUUCUUGUAAUUAUUGGGAGAUCAAUAUUCCAUAAAUAGUACUCUUACAAUUAAUUCUUUGUGAAACUAUUUUUUUUUAUGACAAUCCCAAGAAGUUUUUCUAAGGGAUGAAUUAGUAAAAUUAUCUUUUUAUUUAUGAUUUCUUAAUAUAUGUAUAAAAAGUAAAAUGAUUCACUAAUAUGAAAUGGAGGAAUAACUAAUGACUUUUCACCUUAUAACUAUUGGUUUUCUUUGUUUACAUAUUUCUCCAUCCGCAGAAAUGAUCCAAGUGAACCGUUAAGAAAUUCAUUAAUCACUGUUAAAUUGAUAAUGAAUUAUAUUAUCUCAUUCAUUAUAUUCUUCUCAAUAAUCAGCUUUUAUAAAUCAAACAAUAUGUAUAACUCCACCAUUGAAAGAUAUAGUAGAGGAAAACUCCAAAUUUAUGAGGUAAAUGUUUAUGUUUAUUUUACUCUGUUACUUCAUAUAAGUAUUCAUGUUUGCUUCUAUUAUAUUUUUUAGCUCUAAAUUAGAGUUAAUCAUACAUUAUUUUUAGUAAUAUAAAUAUAUUAUAUGUUUACAUCUAUUAUCACAUCAAAAUGCAAACUUGCAGUUUCAUAUGAUAUAUAUAAUGUAUUUAUCGUCCAACAAAGAAAUAAUUCAAUAGAAUGAAGUCUCAAGGAUUCUUUAACAACUUGUUUUAGGUAUUUCAAGUCCUCAAUAAUAUCUUCAUUGAAAGUUUCUUUUCCUUUGAAUGCUUCUCUUACCUCAACUUGUGCCUUUGCUAGCACACUUGGUUUUCUCAUCAUUUCUGUCAUGGUCCAUAUUGUUGUUGUUAUUGAAGUUUCUGUUCCCGCAGCGAACAAGUCCUAUAUUUCAUUAUUAAUUAAAGAACUAAUAAAUUCACUUAUUUUCCUAAAUAAUACUGAACACACCCUUAGAGAUUUUUUUUAAGGGAAAAGGCUUAAAUAUGUCAUUGAACUUUGAGAAAAAACUCAUCUAUGACAUCCGUUAGAAGUUUGACUCAUCUAUGUCAUUUCUGUUAGAGAAAAAUCUCAUCCAUGACUUUAUUUAUUAACUGAAAACAGUUUUGGUUUUGCAAAACCAUUUUUUUUACAUGUGGUCAAUCAUGAUUCGGUCACUUCAUUAAUUAAAUCAUUUUAAAAAGGGAUUAGGUUCAAAUAUGCCAUCAAUCUUACAGAAAGGCUCAUCUAUGUGUUUGAGUCAUAUAUGCUAUUUCAGUUAACAAAUUAAAUAAUGACUUGGAUGAGUCUUUUUUCAAAAGGAAAUGACAAAGAUGAGUCAAACUUUUAAUGAAUUGCAUAGAUGAGUCUUUUUUCUCAAAAUUCGAUGGUAUAUUUGAGUCUCUAAUUAUAAGAGAAAGAAUACUUACAAUCAUAAUUGCUUUAAUGUUGUCAUUGGUGAUUGGGGUUUUAAGUUCUCCACUCUCCCUUAAUCUUAGUAGAACAUCAACUAAUUAAUCUUCACCUCCAAAUGCACCAUUUCCUUUUUUACCACUUGCAAUAUUCAUUUUGUGCUCAUUGAUUACAUCCUCAACUAUAACAUCAACAUUCUUGUGAACUUUCAAGAUUCUACUCUUCAAUCCACUUAGCACAUGAAUGAUCUUGAUUGAAGGGAAAAUGUCAGCCAUACUAAAUCCACCAGCCAAUUUCACCAAUUCCUUCACUAAUCCAAUGAAUUUCUCUUGAUCUUUCAACAAUUCCCCAAAUGCUGCUUUGCAUGUAAUUGAGCUCUGGUACCAUGAAAUAUGUUCGGUAAUAUUUAUUGGCACGCCACGUGUUGAUGACCGGAUGAAUUGCAUGAGGCUCGAAGCCUCGUCUCGCCUGAUGGAACUAAAGGACCGUACGUUCUUGGCAGUGAAAAGUUCCAAGACACAUAUUUUACGUAUCUGUCUCCAGUAAUCUCCAUAAGGACUAAACGCGAUAUCUGUGCUCUUGUAAAAUAUUAUGUCGAUGGAUACUAAUUUAGGCCUUGAUGCAAAAGCAAGGUCAUGAGUUUUCAGUACCUCUCGCGCCAUAACCACAGAAUAAACUACGACCAUAGAAAUUUCGCCUAGUUGAAGGUGCAUGAAAGGCCCAUAUUUUUUGCCCAAUUUUGUGAGUGCAUGAUGAGGAAGUCCACCUUCUAAUGCCAAGUGAUGGAUACUUCCUAAAAAAAG
rnacentral:lncRNA from 1 species